rnacentral:rRNA from 1 species
AAGUAAAAGUCGUAACAAGGUCUCCGUUGGUGAACCAGCGGAGGGAUCAUUACCGAGUUUACAACUCCCAAACCCAUGUGAACAUACCUACUGUUGCUUCGGCGGGAUUGCCCCGGGCGCCUCGUGUGCCCCGGAUCAGGCGCCCGCCUAGGAAACUUAAUUCUUGUUUUAUUUUGGAAUCUUCUGAGUAGUUUUUACAAAUAAAUAAAAACUUUCAACAACGGAUCUCUUGGUUCUGGCAUCGAUGAAGAACGCAGCGAAAUGCGAUAAGUAAUGUGAAUUGCAGAAUUCAGUGAAUCAUCGAAUCUUUGAACGCACAUUGCGCCCGCCAGUAUUCUGGCGGGCAUGCCUGUCUGAGCGUCAUUUCAACCCUCAUGCCCCUAGGGCGUGGUGUUGGGGAUCGGCCAAAGCCCGCGAGGGACGGCCGGCCCCUAAAUCUAGUGGCGGACCCGUCGUGGCCUCCUCUGCGAAGUAGUGAUAUUCCGCAUCGGAGAGCGACGAGCCCCUGCCGUUAAACCCCCAACUUUCCAAGGUUGACCUCAGAUCAGGUAGGAAUACCCGCUGAACUUAAGCA